UCAAACACACACAUUCAUUACCGGAAAAACACACACACCUCUCAACCACCGCCAGUCAUCAUCACCGCCCCUUUUUUCCGUCAACAUCUUAGAUCUGAGAUCAUCUCAUUCAACCAUCACUUUCGCUAGAGACCUAAUCGGAAAACCACCACCACCGUGUGCAAAUCGAAAUGGACACAACCACCGUCGCCAACAAACAUCGUCGCUGUCAUCUCAAAUUCUACUUCAUCUUCAUCGUAAAAUAAAAUUAAAUUACAUAUCCGUCAUCUUCAAUGUUAAUAUUAGACUAGAUUUGUACAGAUUGUGAUCGAAGAAUUUGUACAGAAACUUCUUAGAGUUGAUUCGGAGCGAAUUCGACGGCAGAUGCAGGACGUUGCGGUGAAUAACUAUCGCGCAUUCAUCUCUGCUGCCGAUGCUUUGGUUUCGAUCCGUCAUGAAGUCUCGCCAAUUGAUAAACACCUGCAAUCUAUGUGCCUUUCCACAUAUACAUACCGCUGUCACACCUUCCUUCAUCUUCUAGCAAAUUGAUUUGCUUAAAGAUAGAACCCAACAUGAGGAAGGAUGCAUACAACGUAAACGUGUCUACUGAAAUUAGAAACUUCUUGCUUGUGAACUCUUCAAGUGCUACAUUCAUCAUCGUUACUUCAAGCGACUUUCAAAGUAUUAUAAGGGAGUGCUUCCAUCAGGACCACCAGGGAGAGGUAAAACACUAUUUUCAAUGACACUAUAGCAAAAGAGAGUGGAAUGCCAUUUGUGUUCGUGUGAAGUGCAGAGUUCCUAAAUAGUAAAAAAGUGGUGCUUCACAGAUAAAUCAAAUGUUCGGCAUCGUGAAGUGAAAUUCUGAGAGGGGAUUAAAGAUUAAGCUUGGAAAGAAUGUCAAACCAAAGGAUGGGAAAGGGCUGGAUAAAGAGAAUCCAAUGGAGUUGAAGUAAUUCUAAUGUCAAACAUUUCUUAUGACUGUCAAACUUAUCUAGUACUUUUUAUAUAUUCUCUCUAGUUGUCUAAACAAUACUAGAAUCUGCAGUAACGUGCACUAACGGAUAAUGUUUCAGUUGGUUAAUUUUUGUAUAUGUAUGGUGCAAUGAAGUAAUUGGAAACUACUUUCUGUAAAUAA